rnacentral:tRNA from 1 species
AGAGACUUAGGAUCAAACCACCAAACCAGGGGCCUUCAAAGCCCCAAAUAAGAGAUAAAACCCUCUUAGUCUUUG